CAGCGGUACCGGACGAGCGAAGCGACGGAGGAUAAGAAGCUG
rnacentral:sRNA from 1 species